rnacentral:piRNA from 1 species
UAAAAUUUUUCAAAUAAGAGUUCAGGGA